rnacentral:tRNA from 1 species
GCGGUUGUGGUGGAAUGGCAGACACGCUAUCUUGAGGGGGUAGUGCCCACUGGGCGUAUGGGUUCAAGUCCCAUCAACCGCA